rnacentral:rRNA from 1 species
AUGCCCAUGGACCCUCCCGAUGAGUUCCGCCGCCCCUUCUGGGUCCUCCUCCACAUCCAUGCCUACGCCCGCCGUAGUCGCAAGAGCGCCGCCGCCGAGGGCCGCGGGAGGAACAACGAGAUACUGCGCGCUUCCCUCCUCCCCAAUCACCCGCCGCACCCCUCCAAUCUGUACCUGUACCGCAAGAAUGGCCCUUUCGGAGAUACGCCCUGCGUGCUCUCCAUGGUGGACAGCCUCAUCCUCUUCCACGCAUACACCGGGCCCGAGCUCCGCUUCCCCCCAGCACGGCUGUGCGACUUCUUCGUCUACCGGGCUGACCCCAACGAGCCGUCUCUCAAGCUACUGCCGCAUCCUCCAUGUUCCGUCGACAGGGACGAUCCGUUCGGCAUCUUCCCCCGAGGGGACAAGCACUACACCAUCGCAUCGCUGGUACCGAGCAUAUCCUCCGCCUACGAUCACGUACUCCACCUGUUCGACUCCGAGACCCAGAUUUGGAGCAGAAAAGAUCUGAUUGUUGCGUCGCCACAGGCGAACUUUCCGGUUGAUGCCCCCGUCAGCACUAAGCAGAUCUUAUCCCAACACCAUACAUCCACCUUGAUCACUCUUGGAGGCACCAUUGCCUGGGUUGACCUCUGGCGCGGCAUAGUUUUCUGCGACAUGCUGUCAGAGCAUCAUGCGCUCAGCGGUGUUCCACUGCCACUGCCACUGACCCUAGGACCUGCAAGGCAUUACCGUGGUAUCGCUUUGCUUGGUGGAUGCAUCAGGCUCGUUGAGGUGGAUUCUGAGAUCGUUGAUCUCCCGGGCACUUGUGAUGGAGAAACCGGGUGGCCUAUUGGCCGAACAGAGAACUGGACGAUCACCACUUGGAUCAACAAGAGCGACAAGGGCGAGCGUAAUUCUUAUGCUGCUUGGGACAAGGUGACCACGCUUCGAGGCUCCGACAUCAUCCUCGGUGACCACUCCGUGAAGCUGCCGAUAGGCCUGCAGAACCUUUUUGUUUCUGACCCAGCUAUUAGCAUGGAUGACGGUGAUGGUGAUGUUGUUUACCUGACGGCCAGGCAGAAAUAUAUGCAUCCCAAGUCGUGGGUUCUUGCUGUUGAUACGAGGAAUCGCAAGGUGCAAAAUAUAGCUUACUCUGGCCAUCUUCCUGCCGGAAUGCCGCGCAUAGAUGGGAACUACUGCACUUGUAGUAUCUCCAACUAG